UACGUAGGGGCCUAGCGUUGUCCGGAUUUAUUGGGCGUAAAGAGCGUGUAGGCGGCCAUACAGGUCCGUUGUGAAAACUCGAGGCUCAACCUCGAGACGUCGAUGGAAACCGUAUGGCUAGAGUCCGGAAGAGGAGAGUGGAAUUCCUGGUGUAGCGGUGAAAUGCGCAGAUAUCAGGAAGAACACCCGUGGCGAAGGCGGCUCUCUGGGACGGUACUGACGCUGAGACGCGAAAGCGUGGGGAGCGAACAGG
rnacentral:rRNA from 1 species